rnacentral:lncRNA from 1 species
ACAUCCCCACCUUCCAGGUGAGGAAACCGAGGCACCGAGAGCUGGGGGCCAGGCCAGGGGGUCUCCCUGGGGGGAGCAGAGGAGUGUCGGACCUCAGAAGAGGCUCUGGGGGUCUGAGCCGCCACCGGGCGCUGCCUUCCAGGUUCAGCAGGGACAGAGCUCAGGGGGAAGGCACCUCCCGUCCUGGUUCAAUACAUGGACCCCUGACCCUGGGAAAGGGACUGAGCCAGGGGAGGCCUCAGGUCACUGCACCAUGAAGUUGUGGGGAGCUGCGGGGGCCUCUGGGCUCCGAGCUGGGCAGGCACAGCGUGGGGACCACGUGCCGAGGGGAAGAAGCGUGCCAGGGUGGACGUCUCAGUGCACACGCAGGAACAUGCAACGGCUGAGCCAGCCCAGAGAGGCAGCGGAGCGUGUGCGGGGCGGCCGGCGGAGGAGCAGCAGGAUCCCAGGCGGGAGCGCACGGCCUUUUCGGAGGCAGGUUCCAGGACAAUACUAAGCGUUUACAUCAUUGCACUAUUUGAUCCAGGAGGUCCCACUGUGGCGUUUCAUCGAUAAACGCACAUGCGAGGUGGAGGGUGGCUGGUGUGGAAUGUGCCCGGCAGCCUUCAUAGCAAAGGAGAAUUCUAGAACCAACCGAAGUGCCCCUCUGAAGGGAGCUGGUCCCGUCCGUUCCAGCCGCCGUGGAGUAACACAGCCAGCAGUUUCCCUCCUGCCACGAAAGCUCGAGACUGAAACUCAGGAUGAACUGUUUUCAGCCCGGGUCACCCCAGCCCUGGGGUGGAGGCCCAUUGAGGAUGGCCGAGCAGGGGCGGGCAUCCAGGCAGGUCCAGCAGUCCUGGCGGGCUGAGGAGAAGGAGGUCAGUGCUCAGGGAGACAUCCGCAGAGGGACCUGGCAGGCAGAGCUCCAGAAGGGAGGGAACUGCACAGACAGAAAGCUCCAGAAGGCUGCCUGAGGGCCUCUGAGGCCUCCGGAGUCAGGCGCCAUGGAUGUGGAAGGUGGACUCUUCAGCAUGGAUGGGACCCUAGGGGGCUGUGGACCCCCGGCCCCUGGGACUCACAGGUGGGAGACAGGAGUUCCAACCGCCAGGGGGAGAGUCCUGGAGGAUCCUGGGCUGUUGGCAGCCACCCAGCAGGGCCCGUCCUGGGAGUGGGGCUGGACUCUUCCUGCAGGAAAGGCUGGGCUGGACCUGCUCUGAGAGGCUUCAGAACCAGCCACACGAAGACCAAAGUGAAGAGCAAGGAGCUGAACUCCACGCAGAACACAGCGCAGCGUCCUUUAAAGGAAGGCCAAAAACAACCCAACAAAAAUGCCAGGUGAUCAAAGCGGUCACAGCACAAUGUCCACAUCCAACGAGAAAUUGCUACUACGUCCAGACGCAGGGAAAGGUGGCCGUGGGAACGUGAGUCAGCAGCAACAGGCCCAGAAGGGCAGCCACGGUGGACUUGUCAGACGUGGACCCUGAAAUGACAAUCACAGCAUGAUUUCAGGCAGGAGCCUGAAAUGGUACAGCUUUGGACAUCGGUUUGGCAAAUUCUUUUAGAGAGAAACACACACCUUCCCUAGGACCCAGCAACUCCACUCCUAAUAACCAAGUGAAAUGGAAGGAGUUGUCCUCAGCAAAACGUGUGUGCGGAAGUUCACAGUCACUUUCUCGGUGAUAACCAAGAGCUGGAAACCACUGCAACACCCACCAGCAGGUGAACGGAUUAACACACUGGGCUAGGGCCACACAAUGAGAUGCUCCGUGGCAACACAAAAUGAACCGUGGACACACACUGCACGGCGGAUGAAUAUGCAGACAUCAGGCCACGUGAAGGGAGCCAGGCCCCGAGGCGCCACGCUUUGUGAUUCAGGGUGGUCCCUCUGCGCCCAAGACCCGGCUGCCUCCUCCUCUUCCUGGCUGCAGGGAGUGCUUGUGUCUGAAGAACGCCAGGCUGGUGUCCCCAGAGGGCGGCUGGAGGGGCUCAGAAACCAUUUUCACCUUCUGUCUCCUCCAUGUCUGCACUGUUUGGGAAAGAAAGCACGCAGCCAAAGAGCGCAAAGAGGCUCAGAGGAGGCCCGGGUGCCCUGGAGAGACGCUGCGUCCUGACGACACAGCAUCCCUGUCCCGCAGCGGAGAUUUCCCAGAUGAAGGAUUCCCCGGCGGGAGACAGGGCCCUGCACACAGGUCCUCUGCCACGCUGCUCACCAUGCCUGUGUGUUAUCUCCCCAUGAAAAGUCACCUAGGCCGAGCAUGGUGGCUCACGCCUGUAAUCCCAGCACUUUGGGAGGUGGAGGCGUGCGGAUCAUCUGAGAUCAGGAGUUUGAGACCAUCCUGAGUAACAUGGUGAAACCCCGUCUCUAGGAAGAAUACAAAAAUUAACUGGG